CGUGGACUAAAAAGUACCUCAAACUGCAGCCUGGUUUUUCUUAUGAAAGUUUCAUUGAAGAAGAAUUUGUGCCAGCAGGUUCUUCUACUCUAAAUUCUUCACUUUUCUGAAGUGAUACGGAGAGGUCCUCUUCAAACAAGGGGCAUCAAUCUCCUGGUGCAGGAGAGAACACCUCUGCCAUAGGGGAUGCAGCAGAAAAGGCCAAAUGGAUGGUCCAGGAGGUUCUGGAGAAGAGUUCAGGAGGAGAGGAAACAAUGGAGGAGUAUAAGAGAUUGAGCACCUUGACACACUGCACAAGACGGCAUCAUAUCCUGGUCAGCCACAUUGUUGAAAUGCAUGGGAACUCUGGAUCUCAUUCAUAGUCAGCAUUGGGUCCUUGGUUACCUGUCUGACCAAGGCCCCUUUGUCCCAGGAUUACUCAGUUUGGCUUGCAUUUUUGCGGAGAGUUGGAGGAUUUUGUGUAGAUGUUGAUGAAGAUGAUAUGUUUGUUAUAUCUCUG